GCGGAGGAAAAGAAACCAACAGGGAUUGCCNUAGUAACGGCGAGUGAAGCGGCAUCAGCUCAAAUUUGAAAUCUGGCUCUUUNAGGGUCCGAGUUGUAAUUUGCAGAGGGCGCUUUGGCGUUGGCAGCGGUCCAAGUUCCUUGGAACAGGACGUCACAGAGGGUGAGAAUCCCGUACGUGGUCGCUGGCCUUCGCCGUGUAAAGCCCCUUCGACGAGUCGAGUUGUUUGGGAAUGCAGCUCUAAAUGGGAGGUAAAUUUCUUCUAAAGCUAAAUACUGGCCAGAGACCGAUAGCGCACAAGUAGAGUGAUCGAAAGAUGAAAAGCACUUUGGAAAGAGAGUCAAAUAGCACGUGAAAUUGUUGAAAGGGAAGCGCUUGCAGCCAGACUUGCCUGUAGUUGUUCAUCUGGGCUCUUGCCCUGUGCACUCUUCUGCGGGCAGGCCAGCAUCAGUCUGGGCGGUUGGAUAAAGGCCUCUGUCAUGUACCUCCUCUCGGGGAGGCCUUAUAGGGGAGGCGUAAUGCAACCAGCCUGGACUGAGGUC
rnacentral:rRNA from 1 species